rnacentral:rRNA from 1 species
UCCUGGCUCAGAUUGAACGCUAGCGGGAUGCCUUACACAUGCAAGUCGAACGGCAGCGGGAAAGUAGCUUGCUACUUUUGCCGGCGAGUGGCGAACGGGUGAGUAAUGUAUCGGAACGUGCCCAGUAGCGGGGGAUAACUACGCGAAAGCGUGGCUAAUACCGCAUACGNNCUACGGGGGAAAGGGGGGGAUCUUAGGACCUCUCACUAUUGGAGCGGCCGAUAUCGGAUUAGCUAGUUGGUGGGGUAAAGGCCUACCAAGGCGACGAUCCGUAGCUGGUUUGAGAGGACGACCAGCCACACUGGGACUGAGACACGGCCCACACUNCUACGGGAGGCAGCAGUGGGGAAUUUUGGACAAUGGGGGAAACCCUGAUCCAGCCAUCCCGCGUGUGCGAUGAAGGCUUCGGGUUGUAAAGCACUUUUGUCAGGGAAGAAAAGGUUUCGGAUAAUACCUGGAACUGAUGACGGUACCUGAAGAAUAAGCACCGGCUAACUACGUGCCAGCAGCCGCGGUAAUACGUAGGGUGCAAGCGUUAAUCGGAAUUACUGGGCGUAAAGCGUGCGCAGGCGGUUCGGAAAGAAAGAUGUGAAAUCCCAGGGCUCAACCUUGGAACUGCAUU